rnacentral:pre_miRNA from 1 species
CUUGUACUCCCUCCAUCCGAAAAUACCUGUCAUUGAAAUGGAUGUAUCUAGAUGUAUUUUAGAUCUAGACACAUCCAUUUUGAUGACAAGUAAUUCCGGACGGAGGGAGUACUUG